rnacentral:rRNA from 2 species
AGGUUAGCGGCGGACGGGUGAGUAACACGUGGGUAACCUGCCUGUAAGACUGGGAUAACUCCGGGAAACCGGGGCUAAUACCGGAUGCUUGAUUGAACCGCAUGGUUCAAUUAUAAAAGGUGGCUUUUAGCUACCACUUACAGAUGGACCCGCGGCGCAUUAGCUAGUUGGUGAGGUAACGGCUCACCAAGGCGACGAUGCGUAGCCGACCUGAGAGGGUGAUCGGCCACACUGGGACUGAGACACGGCCCAGACUCCUACGGGAGGCAGCAGUAGGGAAUCUUCCGCAAUGGACGAAAGUCUGACGGAGCAACGCCGCGUGAGUGAUGAAGGUUUUCGGAUCGUAAAACUCUGUUGUUAGGGAAGAACAAGUACCGUUCGAACAGGGCGGUGCCUUGACGGUACCUAACCAGAAAGCCACGGCUAACUACGUGCCAGCAGCCGCGGUAAUACGUAGGUGGCAAGCGUUGUCCGGAAUUAUUGGGCGUAAAGCGCGCGCAGGCGGUUUCUUAAGUCUGAUGUGAAAGCCCCCGGCUCAACCGGGGAGGGUCAUUGGAAACUGGGGAACUUGAGUGCAGAAGAGGAGAGUGGAAUUCCACGUGUAGCGGUGAAAUGCGUAGAGAUGUGGAGGAACACCAGUGGCGAAGGCGACUCUCUGGUCUGUAACUGACGCUGAGGCGCGAAAGCGUGGGGAGCGAACAGGAUUAGAUACCCUGGUAGUCCACGCCGUAAACGAUGAGUGCUAAGUGUUAGA